rnacentral:snoRNA from 1 species
AAGACUAUACUUUCAGGGAUCAUUUCUAUAGUUCAUUACUAGAGAAGUUUCUCUGAAGGUGUAGAGCACUCCCC